UGUGUAUAUUCAAAAGAAUUGAAAACAAGUGUUCAAACAAACUUUGUACACAAAUGCUCAUGGCAGCCCUAUUCAUAAUAGCCAAAGUGUGUUAAUAGCCCAGAUGUCCAUCAACAGAUGGAUGGGUAAACAAAUUGUGGUGUAUAUAUACACAAUGGAAUAUUAUUCGGGCAUAAAAAGAAAUGAAAUGCUGAUACAUGUUACAAAAUGGAUGACCUUAGAAACCAA